rnacentral:rRNA from 1 species
UCUGCCCUCCACUUUGGGAUAACACCGGGAAACCGGUGCUAAUACCGAAUAUUGAAACAUAAGUGGCAUCACUGAGUUUUGAAAGAAUUUCGGUGGAGGAUGACUUCGCGGCCUAUCAGCUAGUUGGUGAGGUAAUGGCUCACCAAGGCAACGACGGGUAGCCGGCCUGAGAGGGCGACCGGCCACACUGGGACUGAGACACGGCCCAGACUCCUACGGGAGGCAGCAGUGGGGAAUAUUGGGCAAUGGAGGAUACUCUGACCCAGCGACGCCGCGUGCGGGAUGAAGGCCUUCGGGUUGUAAACCGCUUUCAGUAGGGAAGAAGCGAAAGUGACGGUACCUACAAAAGAAGCACCGGCUAACUAUGUGCCAGCAGCCGCGGUAAUACAUAGGGUGCAAGCGUUGUCCGGAAUUAUUGGGCGUAAAGAGCUCGUAGGUCGUUUGUUACGUCGGAUGUGAAAACCUGAGGCUCAACCUCAGGCCUGCAUUCGAUACGGGCAAACUAGAGUUUGGUAGGGGAGACUGGAAUUCCUGGUGUAGCGGUGGAAUGCGCAGAUAUCAGGAGGAACACCAAUGGCGAAGGCAGGUCUCUGGGCCAAUACUGACACUGAGGAGCGAAAGUCUGGGGAGCGAACAGGAUUAGAUACCCUGGUAGUCCAGACCGUAAACGGUGGGCACUAGUUGUGGGAACCUUCCACGGUUUCUGCGACGCAGCU